UACGGAGGGUGCAAGCGUUAAUCGGAAUUACUGGGCGUAAAGCGCGGGUAGGCGGCUUUGCAAGUCGGGUGUGAAAUCCCCAGGCUUAACCUGGGAACUGCAUUCGAGACUGCAUAGCUAGAGUAUGGGAGAGGGAAGUGGAAUUUCAGGUGUAGCGGUGAAAUGCGUAGAUAUCUGAAGGAACAUCAGUGGCGAAAGCGACUUCCUGGACCAAUACUGACGCUCAUGUGCGAAAGCGUGGGGAGCAAACAGG
rnacentral:misc_RNA from 1 species